ACGGAGGGAGCUAGCGUUGUUCGGAAUUACUGGGCGUAAAGCGCACGUAGGCGGCUUUGUAAGUCAGAGGUGAAAGCCUGGAGCUCAACUCCAGAACUGCCUUUGAGACUGCAUCGCUUGAAUCCAGGAGAGGUGAGUGGAAUUCCGAGUGGAGAGGUGAAUGGAGUAGAUAUGCGGAAGAGCACCGGUGGCGAAGGCAGCACACAGGAUUGGUAUUGACGCUUAGGUGCUAUAGUGUGUGGUGCACAAAG
rnacentral:rRNA from 1 species